CUGCUUCUCUCCCUGUUGUUACAAAAAGUGGAUCUCACUUGAAACUCGGUGCUCUGCUUCUUGUUUUUGCAGUAACUCCUCCAGAAGCACUGACUCAACAUGGCAGACAUUCACUCCUUGCUUUUCUCUGCUCUGGAUGAUCUGGAACGAGAUGAUCUGAAGCGCUUCAAGAUGUACUUGCAGCAGGGCGUCGCUGAAGGUCUAGGCCGCAUUCCGAAGGGUCAGUUGGAGGACAAGGGGGUGACCGAUGUGGUUGAAAAGAUGGUGGUGAGCUUUGGAAGAGAGGAGGCCCUCAGAGUGACUCUUCUGAUCCUGAAGAAGAUCAACCAAAAUGACCUCGCUCAACAGCUGGAAAAAGAAUACGAAAAGCAGAUCAGUGAACAGCAGAGGGAUAUGAGGAGGGCUGAGGCUGAGAAUCAGAUUGAGGAGCACAUUCAGAAGCUGGAGCAGGAAAUUGCUGAGCUGAGGAGGAGAAAUUCAGAGUUGGAGCAGCUUCCACUUGGGGAGGACUUUGUGAGCCCCACGCAAAGCUCCCCAACCCAGUUCCCAUCCAGUGCGGAGGAGGACACAUCCAACAAGCCUAAUCAAGCGACCAAACCAAAAGAGUUAUUGAAAAAAGAUGUGGUUAAACUGGAGGACAAGCUCAGGAGAGAAAGACUGAGUCUUAAAGAGCUCAGUGAGUAACAUUUUGCAGUUAUUUUUCAAACUAGUCUUUGGAACAGUCCUCAUAAGGUAAGGCCUUACUCCUAGUCUAAAACACAUUAAAACUUUAGUUCUUGUAUAAAACCUUGCAUGAAACAAACUG
rnacentral:lncRNA from 1 species